rnacentral:rRNA from 1 species
AUGAUGUUCCCAUCACCAGGGGGUGCGGCGAUGGCGCUGGCCCACGGCCAAGCAGCUUCCACGGGCGCAACGACCGCCGGCGGCACCGCGACCGCCAUAACCUUCAGCUUCCAGCCCUCCGAUCCUCCUGUGAACGGCGGCCUCUCCCACCACCAUAGCCUCCUAGGUUACAGCCCCCUCGUACUAGACCACCCAACCACCACUACUUCCUCCUCCACCAUCCCUACCGCCGCUCCCACACUUCACCACAUCCAUGCUCAUGCCGGAGCCAUCCAUCCUGCAAGGUCAUCCCCUCCACAUCCAUGGUCUUGCGAGGAAGCUGAUCGAGAAAGGCAGAGGGGGAAGGGCGCGGUGGCAGGCAUGGGGAUUAACAGCGCGGCGGCCGGCGGAAGUGGAGGUGGUGAACGGUCACACGGGUCGUCGGCGGCGGCUGCGGGGAUGGGGGUCGGCGCGGUGAGGAUGAAGAAGGCGGCGGGGGGAGGAGCGGUGAAGGCGCGGCGGAAGGUGCGGGAGCCGAGGUUCUGCUUCAAGACCAUGAGCGACGUCGACGUGCUCGACGACGGCUACAAGUGGCGCAAGUAUGGCCAGAAGGUCGUCAAGAACACGCAGCACCCACGGAGCUACUACCGGUGCACGCAGGACAAGUGCCGGGUGAAGAAGCGGGUGGAGCGGCUGGCGGAGGACCCGCGCAUGGUGAUCACCACCUACGAGGGGCGGCACGUCCACUCCCCCUCCCGGGACGACGACGACGCCGCGCGCGCCAGCGCCGAGAUGAGCUUCAUCUGGUAG